rnacentral:tRNA from 1 species
GCCCCCGUAGCUCAGGUGGAUAGAGCAUCUGCCUUCUAAGCAGAGGGUCGGCCGUUCGAAUCGGCCCGGGGGUG